rnacentral:rRNA from 1 species
GAUGAACGCUGGCGGCGUGCCUAACACAUGCAAGUCGAGCGGCAGCGCGAGUAGUUUACUACUUGGCGGCGAGCGGCGGACGGCUGAGUAACGCGUGGGAACAUGCCCCAAAGUGAGGGAUAACUGCCCGAAAGGGUAGCUAAUACCGCAUAUGAUCUUCGGAUUAAAGGAUUUAUCCGCUUUGGGAGUGGCCCGCGUCGGAUUAGGUAGUUGGUGAGGUAAAGGCUCACCAAGCCGACGAUCCGUAGCUGGUCUGAGAGGAUGAUCAGCCAGACUGGGACUGAGACACGGCCCAGACUCCUACGGGAGGCAGCAGUGAGGAAUCUUCCACAAUGGGCGAAAGCCUGAUGGAGCAACGCCGCGUGCAGGAUGAAGGCCUUCGGGUUGUAAACUGCUUUUAUAAGUGAGGAAUAUGACGGUAACUUAUGAAUAAGGAUCGGCUAACUACGUGCCAGCAGCCGCGGUCAUACGUAGGAUCCGAGCGUUAUCCGGAGUGACUGGACGUAAAGAGUUGCGUAGGCGGUUUGUUAAGCGAAUAGUGAAACCUGGUGGCUCAACCAUACAGACUAUUAUUCGAACUGGCAAACUCGAGAGUGGUAGAGGUCACUGGAAUUUCUUGUGUAGGAGUGAAAUCCGUAGAUAUAAGAAGGAACACCAAUGGCGUAGGCAGGUGACUAGACCAUUUCUGACGCUAAGGCACGAAAGCGUGGGGAGCGAACCGGAUUAUAUACCCGGGUAGUCCACGCCGUAAACGAUGGAUACUAGCUGUUGGAGGUAUCGACCCCUUCAGUAGCGAAGCUAACGCGUUAAGUAUCCCGCCUGUGGAGUACGGCCGCAUGGCUAAAACAUAAAGGAAUUGACCGGGGACCCGCACAAGCGGUGGAUCGUGUUCUUUAAUUCGAUGAUAAACGAAGAACCUUACCAGGGCUUGACAUCCAUGGAAGGUCUGCGAAAGCGGACUGUGCCUUUUGGAACCCUGUGACAGGUGCUGCCUGGCCGUCGUCAGUUAGUGUAGUGAGAUGUUUGGGUAAGUCCAUCAACGUCGUCACCCCUUGCAAUCAUAAGGAUUUUUCUAGUUGGACUGCCCCGGUAACGUGGAGGAAGGAGGGGAUGAUGUCAGGUCAAUAUUGCCGUCACGUCUUGGGCUGGAACCACCAUACAAUGGCUAUUGCAAUGCGCAGUGAAGCCGCAAGGUGGAGCAAAUCGCAUCAAAACUAGUCCCAGUUCGGAUUGGAGGUUGAAACUCCCCUCCAAGAAGUUGGAAUCGCUAGUAAUCGCAGAUCAGCAACAUGCGGUGAAUAAGUUUUCGGGUCU